CCUAAUCAAACUUUUUUUUUUAUAGAUGACCCAUGCUACAUAAUGUGUUGGAUCCGCCCAUGGUUUUAACAUGUUGCAAAACGUAUUCAAACAUUGAAGCUAAAUUGCGUUCACAUUGGUCCAAAUUUACCCAAACACAAGCGAUCAACAAUUUGUUGUGCCUUAGAUAACGAUGGAAUCUCUUUAUAUUCAUGUUCCAAAAGUAUUUAAUAAAAUGGAUUUCUUACCAAGUUCUUUGACAUUUUGCCUUUUGGUCUAAUGAAAUAUAUAAAAAUUACUCACAAUAUUUUAUAUCAAAACUGAUGUUGGAAAACAUUAAAAUAAACUAUUCUUUCGAUGAAAACGGAGAAACGUUGUCGUUUUAAUCAUCUUCUUCAACGUUUCGAAACAAAAAAAAGCUCACUUGCAAAUUCCAGAGAAAGAGAGAAAGCUCGAGACUUUCGCCGGCGCAGAACCUCGUCGGAGAGAAUCGGUACGAUCUUCAUCUUUAUCGAUGUCUAUUGUCUAUUGAUUGCUUUCCUUUCAAUUACUUUUAUCAUUUGCGUCUCAUCAUCGUGUGACCUAGACGAUCUUGUUCGAUUCCUACGCUUAGCUGAUUAGUGGGUUUUGAUUUUUAAGGUUAACGGAUGUAUUGGGUUCUCGCCUAUUGAACGUUUGAAUCUGAAAAGAGUUUAGAUUUAGCUUAAACGAUGAAGAAAGGAUCAAACUUUAGAGAUCUUAACUUAACGUUUCUUAGAGCAUAAAAAUCGAAUCUUUCUAUUUAGGUUUUGCGUUAUCAGAUCUCAGAUAGACAUUGAUUCAGUUCUGUGUAUUGUUUAUGCACACUUUCAGUACCAUGUGAGUUCCAUGAAGGUGGGAGUUAGUAGAAUCUGUUUUGGCUUGUUCUGUUGAAGAAGACAUUCAAUGUUAUCCAUCCCUGAUGCUAGAAUGUGGAACCUAGCUUCCAGCUAUCUCACCGGACCGAAACACGAAACAAGAAGACCAGUACAUACUCAUGUGGAAUGUUCAGAUGAUGAUGAGUCGUCUGUAGGCAGCAAAGAUGAAGGUCUGGAGUGUCCCAUUUGCUGGGAGUCAUUCAACAUUGUCGAAAACGUUCCCUACGUGCUAUGGUGCGGCCAUACGAUGUGCAAGAACUGCAUCUUGGGACUUCAAUGGGCUAUUGUGAAGCUACCCACGCACCCGGUUCAGCUCCCUCUCUUCAUCUCAUGCCCCUGGUGCAACAAACUCUCCUUCCGUCUUGUCUUCAAAGGAGCUCUUAGAUUCCCUCACAAGAACUACUUUGUGCUUUGGAUGGUCGAGAGGAUGAAUGGCGAGAGACGCAAUUCUCCAGGGAGAGAUCAAACAGAUGGUAACAAUGAUUGUACAAGGGAGGCUCCUCCUCCGUGUCUCCACCACCGUCAUCUUCGUACUCAGUCUGUUCCGAGGGAUGACAUACAGACUUCACUGAGGAAGUCUUUGGUUUUCUUUGUUCAGUUGACAGCAAAGUUCCCAUUGGUUGUCAUGUUCCUGCUGAUUAUACUCUACGCAAUACCGACCUGUGCAGCUAUUUUGGUGAUGUACAUUCUAGUCACUCUCUUGCUGGCUCUUCCGUCGUUUCUCAUCCUCUACUUCGCUUAUCCUUGUCUUGACUGGCUCGUCAGGGAGAUUGUCACAUAAACAUUUCUUUCAACAAGUUACUCCUAAGACUGGUCCAUCAUCCAUGUACGUAUAAUGAUUAAGGAAUCAUCCUCUUUCUUUAUCUAUGUAGGAAGGUAUAAUAGUAUUGUGAUAUUUGAGGAUCCUGCCCUGUGAUUGAUUUGCUUGAGAAUAAGAUUUGUGUUGAAAAAAAAAACUUUUUUUUGUUUACUGUAAUACUAAUCUUGAUUAGGUAAACCAUAGAAGUAUAUUUCUAUUGAACUGUCUGAAAAAUUAGAGCUAAUGUGAAUGUCAUAAUUACACAACAAUUUCCAUUUAACGUUUCAUUUUAUAUUUUAGGUUUUUUCUUUCGAUUUCAGCUUCUGAAUUUCGGUUAAUUGAAUCUUUUUUAUGGUGUUAAUGAAUUUACUGAAGUGAAAUAAUGAACAUAAAAACUUUGCUAUUAGUCUUUGGGCUUCAACAUCAGAAAAUAAUUAAAUUCCAAUUGAAAUGUAAGCCUCUAGAAUUUAGAAAAACUAAAUUCUUCAUCAUCUUUUAUAUUUUGGUGAAAAUAACGUGAUGCAAUCAACAACAACAUCCAUAUUAUAAUUUUUGUAUGUCUUGAUCAAAAUUAAUGAAAAUGUAGCAUAUGCUAUCAUUCAACAUCAUCAGCUGCUUCUUCUUCGUCUAUUUCCUCUCCAGAGGCAUCAACUAUCUCUUCAUCUGAAACAAGCCAAUGAGAAACUAAGUACACACACACACAUCAAACAAACCAAACCGCCAAGAUUUAGUUCACAAAGAGAACAAGAACAGGCGAGAGAGCAAUACCUUCUAAAACCUCUUCCAUUGCAUAGACAUUAUGUAAAGAGUCUAGCCUUUCCUCUACUUCUACACGAAGUUUCUCACCAAAAUCUGCACUGCUACUAUCUGGAAAAAUAAGAGAUAUUAUUCUAUGCAACAAGAAGUUCCAUCAAAAUCUUACAAAAGGACACUUCAAACAAUCAUUACCACCAAAAUAGUCAACCCUGGCAGCAAUAGAACACUUGGCAGCUAGACAACGAGCCAUACGUCCCUUGUUUCUAGCAGAUGCUCGGCCAAUGAAUGAAGAGUGAACUAUCAGACCGUGCUUUGGUGUCUUUCCACCUGUUCUCAACGCCCUGUAAAUUUUAUUCACAACAUAGUUAAUUAAAAAAAAACUGCAGUAAAACAGUAGAAAACAAUAAGACAUAUGGUCUUUAAAAAUGCACCUGCGAAGUGCCCUCUCUGCUCCAAGAAUCUGGAGAGUUGAAGAUGGGUGCUUUGCAAGAUUCCUAAGACUUCCCGCGUGUGAAAUCAACCUGGCUGCAACCGUCUCACCAAUCAAUGCAGCCAAGUUUGGAGCAACGUCCUUCACUUUAACAACAAGGUAGUCAUACAGCUUCUUUCUGUAAUCAGUUAGGUCUAUAACUCCCUGAGCAAAGGUCUGGGCAUGUAACAAAUCUAGUGGUGAUAAGUCAGGACCUUUAAGACACACAAACAUUUUUUUCUUUCAGAACAAACAUAACCAUGUUUUAUUUUAUUGUAAAUUUGUAUAGAUCUAUUACCCAUAGAUGCUUGUCCAGCCUCAACAAGCUCUCUUGCUUUAUCUUCAUCACCAAGGACUUCAGUAAGUAUUGUAACAUGCUCUUCCGACAACUUUGACUUGUCCUCUAUAAUCUUUGAAGCUUGUGCAUACAUGUAAUUGUCAUAAUUAACUAUCUUGUCAAGCUCAGGGAAGUGCGGUGAGUACCAUUCUCUGAUCAAGAUCAUUAUAAUAAAACUACUUAGCUUAAUCAAAAUUUUCUAAUCAUAGAGAAUAACAAGCAAGCAAACAAUUAACAAAAACAAACCUGGUUCUCAUAGCGUAGGAGUUGAUAUCUUUAUCAAGCGUGUCAAGCAAGGAAAUAGUUUGAAUAACCAUAUGAUCCUCUUUGUUCACAUUGUACUUGACCUUUGCUCUACUGUAGCUAAGAGCUAAUCCAACUUGAGGUUUCUCAAGACCACCAGGCUACAUAGAAGAAGAACAUGGUGUUUCACUAAGAAACAUAUGCAGAAAGAAUGAAAAAUAAUCAAUCAGAUCAUCACCUUGAAGUCAUUGAUGAAACUAUCAAAGUGCUGACGAACACCUCUAAGAAGCUCUUGGACAAACUCAUUGCUCUGACAAGGAAUCUUAGUAGCCUCGGAUAUGCAAGAACCGAGUUUUGGGUCAGAUACUCCUAAGCUAAACUUAGUCUCUUUGCCUUCUUCCGCUUUAGGGAGAUUUAGUUCAAGAAAACUUCUAAGCUCCUCACUCAUAAACCCUAAAGAGUAAAACGAAAGAGAUGUAAGUUUCUGGUUUCUUGAUUUACAAGCAAUAAAAAGACGAGAAUGGUUUACCUUCAGAGACGGCGUUGACUUGGUUUAGAGCAUCUUGUGCAGUCUGCCAAGGGUGAAAAGCAGUUAGCUUGACGACCUGACCGAACCGAGCAAGGUCGGAAACUGAGCUUUGAACAGCCUCAACGUUCUGACCGAUCUCAUUGAGGCCAUGCACGUCGAACAGGGCGUAGCCGGAGGAUGAUUCGUAGAGAACAAACAUAGCCAUUGGAAUUGUAGAGAAUGAGAAACUUAGACCUAUACCCUCUUUGAAAAGAAUCAAAUAUAUACCCUAAACCUAAGCCGACUUUGGUCCAACAUUAAUUUCAUGAGGCUGGCCCACUAACCUCAAAAUUACACGGUUUAGUUCAGUUAUUAUAACCUUAACCAAAAACAAAAAAAGUAGAAAACGUAAAAAAUGUAUUUAAAAAAAAAUCUAGAAUAAUGGCAAGAGUUCAGUUACUGUUAUGCUUCACGUGUCUUCUAGCAUCUGUGACACUUAUGGAAGUUGUUUCAGCUCACCCAAAGAUCAAACCAUAUCUACCUCAGAUUGAAGAUCAAAGACAGUGAACGAUAUAGAACCUUACACAGUUAAAGGUAGUGAUGGUCUUUGUAUCUGACCUCGAGAAAGAAUGUCCCAAGACGAACAAGUUCAAAGCAUUCUUUGACAAACUCAGAGCAUACGCCAAAGAAUGUUUUCCCAAUAGGUAAAAAAAAAGACAAAAGAAAGAUUAUGAUAAGGACAUGAAGGCCAAAGCUGGGAGUCUCUUACACUCCAUAGCUUCUUUAAGUGGAUGAAGUAUGUGGGGGGAUAAGACUAUGGGUGGCGGCAAGAAGGAAGAGAGUGAAGAGUCCAUGAAGCUAACGGCAGAACAACAGAAAGAGAUCAAAGAAGGGAUUCUUAAGUGGGAGACAGUGAUUGCAGGAAUCACAAACACAAUGGUAAAAGGCACAGCUACAAACGCUAGCUUCAGUAGUGGAGCCUCUUUCAAAGAUAAGUUUUGUAAUAGUGAAAAUAGACUGUAACCGCUCUCUAUGUAAACAUUCAGAAGAGACUGAAUCCUAAGCAAAGACAUGUUGAAGAAAGCAUUAGAUGAGAAAUUGAGAAGAGCGUUGAAAGAGCAUGUAGUAAGUUAUUUUUCAUAAAGUUAGAUCCUUGAUUGCAUUGCACUAACAAAAUCUGAUUGUGUUACUACAAUAUGAAACAUAAAGGAAAGAGUUAAAGUUGCAUUAUGGUUCCUCUUUCACAGCAGCAAAAUCAAGUCCAGUGAUCUUCAUUGGUCCAAUGUUAACUGCAAGAAUCACAACGGUCAUUUAGAUUGUGCUUAUCAAGCAAAGCAAGAAAACCAUAAUGUAAUGAGAUGACACAAGAAAAGAAUUGUUGGGUUUAUACGUACUAACAGCAUCAAGUCCAGCUAGUUUGGGCAUAAACUGUCGGAUAUGGUCCUCUGCUGCUUGAUCAGCCUUCAAUGUCUCACACUCGAACGAAACAGAUACUUUCUUCUUCCCAUGCUUUUCUUCCACUAACCCAAUCACAUCUUCCUCCCAACUAAAAAGGUUUUAUAAUUCAACUCAUUGGCAUGUUGUCUCUGAAAAGCUAUGACCUUCCCACUCUAUAUGUAGUAAAACAAUCACUUAUGUUCUGGCAUAUAAAAGAUGCUAGACAAGGAGGACUUACCCAUGAGCAUGCUCAACAUCAUUGAUUCGAGCAGCAUCGUGGCCUUUGCAUUCUACUACAACUGUUUGUUCCUUCUUUCUCUUUUUUUUUUUCAAGAAAUGGCAGGACUCAGUGGGUUUUGAAGUGAAGAGUAAAGUUUGUUAGGAACUGAAGUGAUAAAACUCAUACAUACAUUGUAGUCUAUGAUGGUGAGCUUCAUCAACCGAUAAUCCUCACCACGGCUGCACUCAGUCUCACAAGCCAAUUCUUUGUAAAGACAAAAAAAAAAAGAUAGUUCAAUACUAAAUCAUAUCCUUGUCUAUGUUCCUAAACUAAUAGACAUACAAAGUUGUAUACCUUGUUCAACCACUGUCCUAGUAUCAAAAAGCUGUAACUAGUGCAAAAUUAAGUCUUUAGUCUAAUAAACUUUAGGAGGACCAAACAGAUGUUACCAGUGCCAUGGAGGCCAUAGCAGAUGGAGAGAGGCAUGUGAAUGAAAUGGCCAGAGAUGGAACCACAUGGCAAUAAAGCUAUUGAAGCUACUCCUUCCUUCACUUCUCCUUCUUCCUUCUUCUCUACCUCUCCUUCUCUUUCCUCAUCUGCAAUCACAACGAUCAUGAAAACUAAAGAAACAACUGCGAGAUGAUGAUAAAGUCAGAAACUUUACCCAUUGUUGAUUUAGAGAAACCGUUCUCUCUGAUUCUACCCAAUGUUCAAAAUCUCCCCUUUUCUCUCUUUGUUCUGCUUUUGGGUGAUUCCAUACUCUAAAACGUCAUCGUUUUGAGGGGGGUUCUCACGACGUCGUUUUGUCUAUUCACAAAGCAUGAACCUUUCUGUUCUGUAUCUCCCCUCCCUCGUUGCCUGCACAUUCCACAGCCUCAGAACAAGCUCCACUUAAGGUUUAGUGAAUCCUUUCCGCCAAAGUUCUCAACUUUAUGCUGAAUUGGGAAUCAAUUUCUCAGCUUUUGUUCGCUAUUCUUCGUCUGAGUUAUGCUAAAAGAGCUUGUUCUCUCUGCUCAUGUGUUGUAGAUUGCUCUUGUUCACUGUGUCUCCCGACCAGGUUAAAGUCAUGGGGGAGAUGUCUUGUUAAGUCCUCUCUCCACCACUUCUACAUCGAAUCAACUGUAUUGUGGAUGUCAUUCCGUUAAGAAGAGCAGUUGUCAUUGGUCUUUGAGUCACUCUUUAGACUUUGCAUUGACCAUGAAGCUAAAACGAAGACGCCUAGUUUACGUUAGUGUAAAGAUUGAGUCUUUAUCUUUAGGAACAACGAGAAUGUGUUUCAGUAAAGUGAGUAGUGAACCAGACAGAGUUGAAACUAUGGCUUUGGAAUGUGGAUUGAAAGAAAGAGAGAACGAGAUGAGUUUUCUAGAUGGGGUAGAACUAGAGAAGCCUGAAGGGGUUAGGAAGAGUAGGAUACAUUAUCUAGAGGAGAGGGACGGGUGAACAACGUGUACGAAGCUGAGAGAGUCUGGAGAGUUAUGAUUACUGAUGGUCUAAUAGGAACGGAGGUUACAUAUUCUCUUCUCGUUAGCAUCUUUGUCCGGUGCGGGAGAAGCGAGCUGGCUCUCGAUGCAUACGACGAGAUGAUUCACAAGAACAUAUCUCCUAGAGGUAUGCAUGAUGAGUCUAGUGUUAGAUUCUGUGUGUGUGGAAAGAUUUUAAUGUUAAUGUUUGUUUUGUUUACUUGAACAGAGAGUGGAGCCUGAUGUGUCGCUUUACAAUGCGGUUAUACAUGGGAUGUGUUUAAUACGUGAGUUUAAGUUUGCGAAGGAGCUGUAUGUGGAAAUGAGAGAGAUGAGGUUGGAGCCGGAUGGUAAGACUCGAGCUAUGAUGCUACAGAACUUGAAGAGACUGUGAAAGUUGAAGGUGGUGAUGCUUUUGUCUACUCAUAUACUUGUUAAUUUUGCUACCUUGAUAUGAAAUGGAAUAAAACAACUAAUAAAAAAGUUCUAGCAGUUUUGGCAAAAAAAAAAAAUAGAGAAGAUAGCAGGAUUGGAUUGUGCACUUUUUCAGCUGUUAGUUUUUUUUUUUUGACAUCAAAUAAUUAUUCAAAUACUCUAACCAGAGCUGGUUUGAAAACUGAACCGGAAUAAAACAACUAAUUUGUCAAUUGUUAACCUUCUUAGUGCCAAUUUGAGUAAAACAAUGUACGAUUGCUGAGGUUUUUCUCGUCUUUAGAUUAGGACUCAUGGAACGUUGCUGUACAAACCUAUGUUUAGCAACUUGUAAAUUUGUAAUCUCGUGUAAAACCCAUCCGGUUUGGUUCAACCGGUCAAUAAAGAUAAAAUGCGUGCCGGGUUGUAACACAUGACAACGACUGCACGACGUUUUCAAGCUAUCUUCUCUGUCUUCUUUCUCAGUUCACGGGAUCGAUUUAUAGUCAAACCCAUAAAGUUAACACCUUUCAAUCUAGCGAACUCCGCCGUCAACUCCAUGGCCUCACGCCACCACCACGCCUGCUCACAAAGCCAUAACCACCACAAUCAAAUCCCUCUAGUCCCCACGUCUCCACACUGCUGCACCCACUCCAACCACCCUUCGCCACCACCACCUGAUACUCUUCUCCAUCUCCUCGCUUCCUACCUCCAAACCCAUCAACAAGAAACACACUUUCCUAACCAAACCUGCUCCUGCAACCAAAACAACGUUCCACGACAACAACACGACCAAGUCAUCCUCUCCUGUCUCCUACGCAAAAUCGAUGCUCUCGAGUCAUCUCUCAACAAGUUCGCACCUUUCCACGACCAACGCCGCGACCGACACUCCACAGUAAGAGACUCCGCGGCGAGAGUCAUCCAAACCCACUUCCGCUCUUACCUUGUUCAGAGAUCCAUCUCCUUCAGAUAUCUCAAGGAGCUCGCAGUGAUCAAAUCCAGCUUCUUGUCUCUCAAGUCUUCGGUUUCGGGCAAACCCAUUUUCCCUUACAAGGUUGUUUCUCGGAAAGCUACGGACUUGCUUCUUCAAUUGGAUUCGAUUCAGGUAUAAUGUGAAUAAAGUUUUGUCCUUUUUGGUUUUUGGAGAUGUUUGAUUUUAGUGUUCGUUUGGUUCUCUGUUAGGGUAGGGUUGAUCCAAUGAUACGGAGUAGUAAGAGAUCUUUGAGCAGAGAUCUUGUGAGGUUUUUGCAGUACGUUGAUGAUUGUGUUGUUAGAAGGUAUGCUGCUGAUGUGAGCUUUGUGGGUAGCCACAGCAAAAGGCCUCAGGGUUUUGGUGUUGUUGAAGAGAGAAGAGUAGAGAAGUUGAGAAACCGAAUGGGGAAAGUCUUUGUUACUUGUGAUGAGGGUGAAGAGUUGGACUCCACUACUGAUGACAGUGAAGAAGUCUCUAUUGAUAAGAGAAAGAGUGGUAGCUCUAAGUUUAGAACUGGGGCCAAUGUAGUGAAGCCUACUGUUAGGAAGACCAUGGUACUUGACAAGAACAGGACUGUGUAUCAGGAUGAGUCAGUUGAUAGUAGCGAGGAAGAAACCCUUGUGGUAACCAGGGAUAAUGAAAGGAAGCACCAUGGUUUGAAAACUAGGAAGAUGGUUUUGGUGAAAGAAGGUGGAGGAAAGAGCCGUGUGGUGAAAACUGUGAGGUUUGAUGAGGAUGGGAAUGUGUACAAGGUUUAUGGAGAUACGCCAGAGGCGAGCAGCAUUAGCGAGGAGGGAGAUGACUCAACAAGCGGAUCAAAUGAUGGUAAUGGAGACAAGAAAGGGAAUGAAGUUGAGGAAAUCAAGUAUGUGCCUAAGGAAAAAGAGGGCUUUGAAGAAGAAGAAGAAGAAGAAGAAGAAGAAGAAGAAGAAGAAGAAGAAGAAGAAGAAGAAGAAGAAGAAGAAGAAGAAACUCAAUCUGAAAAAGAAGUCUCUUCUUCAGAAGGCAGUGAAAGGGACGCAACGGGAAGUAAUGAACACAAGAAGAGGCAGAUCCAGGUUCAAAAAGGAAACUUAAUGGUCUCUCCUCCAUUGCCACUAAAAAUGGAACCUUAACCAGUGAAUCAUGAAAGAUCCAAGUCCUCUUCUUCUUUGGUUAUGCAUGGCUUUUAGUCUCUUCCCUGAACCCAAAUAAGGUUAACUUUCUUUGUUGUAGAAACUGUAACAUAAGCAGAUGGUUCAAGAUUAGGUUGCAACAUCCUCUGGGAAGAUCUGUGAGAGUUUUUUAAAUUCUUGGUUUGCUGAUUCUGUGUCUUUUUUUUAAUUCUCCACGAAACUUUUGAGUUGAGCAUUUUCUUCAUAGAUAUUCUUUUGAGUGUUGGUUUCCUUAGUUGCCUGUGGAGAUCAACUCAAUAAGAAGUUCUGUUUCUUGCAUUGUUCUUGAGUGUGUGUAAUAUAUUAUGCUUCUAAAAUAUAAGUUGUAUCAAUCGAACCAUAUAGUAUCAGUAGUACCGUUAUUGGAUCUUGCCGACAAUGUGAUUAAUGAUUAUAGUCUCUUGUGUGACAUUUGUUUGCUAGCUUAAUAGUAUUAAACCCUGUUCAAAAACGUGGUCGCCUAAACGUUGUUCGAAAAAGUUGAUCGUGGCGAAUAUGCCCAAAUCGGUGUAGUUAGGCGUUGAUCCGUGUAAGACCGUCUAAUUCCUGCGUUGACCGCCUAAGUUUUUUUCUUCUUUCGUCCGUGUAAAGUUUGAAAUACGGUUGAUUAUUUUUUACUUAUUAUUAACAGAUUUUGUGUAAUUAUUCAUUACUAAAUAAUUACAAUUAGUUAUUAAAUCCAAAACAAACACAUAAUUACUGUAUUUAUGAAAUUUUUUCCGUACCAAACACACCAUAAUCUAAAUGUUCGACGAAUCAAAAAGAAACGGUUUUAAAUUAUAUAUAAAAAAUUAUAUAAUUAUGUCAAAAAACAUGUGUCAUCGUAUUUAAAAUUAGCAAAAUAUAUUAUAAAUAUAUUAAAUUAUUUUACAAAUUUAAAUCUUUGAAUACUCUCCAAUUUUUUGGUAAUUUGUUAGGUUCAGAAUUACCGCUAGAAUAUCGUACUCGCUCAAUUGUUUAAUACAAGAACUAUUUUCACUAAAGUGCACUAAACUAAUGAGUAUAGACAAAAGUAGUCCUUAAAUUAACGAUCAAGACGCUUUACAAGCGGACGAAGCACAUUGCAAGUGGAAUAUAUGUGUCUUGUCGCUUUCUCCAAGAAAUAUCUCUGAUAAGCUCCAGUCCCACUGUAAAAUAACGUGACCUUUCACUUCUCCCCAAAUCCAAUAACACAAUGACACGUGUAGAUACAAACCACGUGGCGUAGUCAAUCUUCAGAUCACUUAUAACUGAUCACUGAGUUGCCUCGUGAAACUGAAAAGCUUCAGAGAGAGAUGGAUACGAUGCGAAUCUCCGCCGGAGCUGAGAAGAUUCCGGUGAAAUGCAACUCCCUGUCGAGCCUCGUCACUCGUCGCUGGAGAACGAAGACGUUCCCGGCGAGGAUCAGAACCUGGCGACUUUUAUCGGUGAAAUCUAUCUCCACCAAUCCCAAGACUCUAGUCACCGAUUCCGAACAAGGUCCAGUCUCAUUCAGAUACUUGUAAGCAUUAAAUGAUGAUUAUAUAAAAAAAAUAAUAAUAUCUUUUUUGAAUGAAAACAGUAGCCUCGAGCAUCAAGCACCACUCUGAGUUCACGCCUCUCUUCUCUCCCGAGAAGUUCGAGCUGCCUAAGGCUUUCUUCGCCACUGCACAGAGCGUCAGAGACGCUCUGAUCGUGAACUGGAACGCUACUUAUGAGUAUUACAACAGAGUGAAUCCUAAACAGGCUUACUAUCUGUCUAUGGAGUUUCUGCAGGUUUGCUUUGCUUUAAAGGGCUGUUCGUUUGGUUGCCGCAGGUACCGGCGGCAGCGUCAGCGUCAACAUUCUACGUCAACUCUUGUUCGUUUCGUUGACGCAAGAAGCUGCGUAACGCCGUGUCCGAACGCCGCGUCCUGCGACUGACGCCGAUAAAACCUGCGGUCGCGACAUAGUAUGCGGUUGUGUCAGCGUCUGCGAAACGAACAAUAACUGUUCUCAUUGACGCUGCCGCCCGCUGACGCUGCCGUUGACGCCGAAACCUGCGGCAACCAAACGAACAGGGCUUUAAAGUCUCCUCCUUUUUCUUUUUUGUACUUUGGUUUAUUAUUAUCUGAUCAUCUUGGUGGCCUUAUUGUAGGGUAGAGCCUUGUCGAAUGCAGUUGGUAACCUUGGUCUUACUGGUGCUUACGGUGAUGCUUUGAAGAGUCUUGGCUUUGAAUUAGAAAGUGUAGCUGGUCAGGUUAGUGGAUUGAUUCACAGAGACUUUUAUCUUUACUAAUGUGUGCUGAGUUGGUUAAGUUUCUUAGGAGCCAGAUCCUGCACUUGGGAACGGUGGACUGGGGAGACUCGCCUCGUGCUUUUUGGACUCCCUAGCAACUUUGAAUUAUCCAGCUUGGGGUUAUGGGCUUAGGUACAAGUACGGCUUGUUCAAACAGAUUAUCACAAAAGAUGGACAGGAGGAAGCUGCAGAAGACUGGCUUGAGGUUUCCUUCUUCUUGCUAUUCUAGUUUUUUUUACUCCAUCAGUGACUUAAAUGGUUUCUUUUUCAGCUAAGCAAUCCAUGGGAGAUAGUCAGAAACGAUGUCUCAUAUCCUAUAAAGUUCUAUGGGAAAGUGGUUUUUGGAUCAGAUGGUAAGAAACGGUGGAUUGGUGGUGAAGACGUUGUUGCCGUUGCUUAUGAUGUUCCUAUCCCUGGCUAUAAAACCAAGACUACUAUCAAUCUACGUCUCUGGUCAACCAAAGCCCCUUCAUCAGAUUUUGAUUUGUCUUCGUAUAACUCUGGCAAGCACACUGAGGCAGCAGAAGCUCUAUUCAACGCUGAAAAGGUCUCUAUUCACUUUCUCUUUGUUUUACAAUAGAACAAGUGUACAUUACUGAAAAAAAAAUAGUUGUUUGUCUUAUUAGAUUUGCUAUGUGCUUUAUCCUGGAGAUGAGUCAGAUGAAGGAAAGGCUCUUAGGCUGAAGCAACAGUACACUCUGUGCUCAGCCUCGCUUCAAGAUAUCGUAGCACGUUUUGAGACGAGGUCUGGAGGGAGUGUUAACUGGGAAGAGUUUCCAGAGAAGGUUGCGGUGCAGAUGAAUGACACUCACCCAACGCUGUGCAUUCCUGAGCUUAUGAGGAUUCUAAUGGAUUUGAAAGGACUUAGCUGGGAGGACGCUUGGAGAAUCACACAGAGGUACUUCUUGAAAAUGACUGUAUCUCUUAUUCUUAUUUGUUUUCCUUGUCUUAAAAUAAUGAUAAUCUAGGGCUGGGAUUUUAAACCGAAACGAAUAGAACUAAAGUUUUCGGUUAGGAGUUGGGUUCGAUUCAGUAAGUUUCUUUAAAAAGUUUGGUUUUGGUUUUGGGUUCGGUUCGGUAAUUGGUUACUUUUGUUUUCUUAAAAAAAAAAAAAAAUAAAUAACCAAACCAUAUAAAAACCGGAACCAAAAUAACUGAACUAAUGGACUGUAACUGAAAUUAACCAAACUUAUCCAAAAUUUUAACAAAUUUAAACCAAAAUAUAACCGAAAUAAAAAAUCUCGGUAGGAUUUUCAAAAACAGAACAAACUGAAUACCAAACCAAACUUUAUUUUGGGUUAACUCGAUAAAAUUUAUGUUGAACCGAACUAUCCAAACCCGCAGGCCUAGUCUACAGUUUUGGAACCUGCAGCAUGUUUCUAAAUAGUUUAAUAAUAUUUCUAGGACUGUGGCAUACACAAACCAUACAGUUCUGCCUGAGGCAUUGGAGAAGUGGAGUUUAGAACUAAUGGAGAAAUUGCUCCCUCGUCAUGUGGAGAUCAUUGAAAAGAUUGAUGAGGAGGUCCAUCCCUGUACAGAACCAUAUGUCUCUUCUAUUUUUUCCACAUCUCUGGUCUAAUUUGCACUUCCUGUAUUGCAGCUUGUUAGCACCAUUGUUUCUGAGUAUGGCACUGAAAAUCCUGACCUGCUCAAGGAGAAACUGAAGGCAAUGAGGAUAUUAGAAAACGUCGAGUUGCCUUCUGCCUUUGCAGAUGUGAUUGUAAAGCCAGAGAGCAAACCAGCUAUUGCAGAAAAGACCGUAGACCAGACCAAAGAUUCUAAAGAAGAUGCUCAAACUGUGGUGAAAAAGGAAGUAGAAGAGGAAGAAACUGCUGGCGUCGUAGCGGAAGUUAUCCCAGAACCACCAAAGAUGGUCCGUAUGGCCAACCUUGCUGUUGUGGGUGGUCAUGCUGUAAAUGGGGUUGCAGAGAUACACAGUGAAAUAGUGAAAACCGAUGUUUUUAAUGAUUUCGUUAAGGUAAAACAUUCUAAACUAGUGAAGCAUAAGUCUCUAUAAUCAUAUUCUCGUUACUGAAUAUUCUAUAUUUGUUGCAGUUGUGGCCGGAUAAAUUCCAGAAUAAAACCAACGGAGUAACACCAAGGCGAUGGAUUCGUUUUUGUAACCCUUAUCUCAGUGAUAUUAUAACUAACUGGAUAGGCACAGAAGACUGGGUCUUAAAUACUGAAAAGCUUGCGGAACUAAGAAAGGUAUGUGCUCUAUUGGAUUCAAUGUUGCUUCACAUGUGGUUGUCUUGUAAGUAAGACACCAGAUAACUUUCGUUGGUCGUUCUCCAGUUUGCAGAUGAUGAAGAUCUUCAAUCCGAGUGGAGGGCAGCAAAGAAGAAGAACAAGUUGAAGGUUGUAUCACUAAUCAAGGAAAGAACUGGAUAUACUGUCAACCCGGAUGCAAUGUUCGACAUUCAGGUCACUUUCCAGAGGAUCUUGUUUACAUUAGCUUUCUUAUCAUCUCGUUAAAUAGUAAACUUAUUGUUUUGUUUUUUGUAUUGAAAACUAUGUGCAGAUCAAGCGUAUCCACGAGUACAAGCGACAACUGCUUAACAUCUUGGGAAUAGUUUACCGUUACAAAAAGAUGAAGGAGAUGAGUGCUAGUGAGAGGAAGAAGGCAUUCGUUCCAAGAGUUUGCAUAUUUGGGGGAAAAGCAUUCGCCACAUAUGUGCAAGCUAAGAGGAUUGUGAAAUUCAUCACAGAUGUUGGGUCUACAAUUAACCAUGAUCCGGAGAUUGGUGACUUGCUUAAGGUACGGAGCCUAUUAUUAUGUAUACUUUACAUGCUUGUAUUAAUCAUCUUCUGAGCAGACAACCUGCAUAAUCCUCCCUUAAGUCUGGUAUAAACGUCGUCUUGUGGACUACCUUGUAGGUUAUCUUUGUUCCUGAUUACAAUGUCAGUGUUGCUGAAUUGCUCAUUCCAGCAAGCGAGCUUUCUCAGCACAUCAGGUAUCAACUUAUUUGGCUAACUCAUCUUCACAACUCCAUGAGGCUAAAACACUGAAACUGAGAUAACUGAUAAAGUAGGAGCUGGUCUAGUUUAUAUAUUUACCCUUUAUCAUGAGAAAUUUGGCAAUGAAUAUGUAAUCAAUGGUACUCUUGCUAUUUUCUGAAGACUAAGAGUUAUCUCUGCAGCACCGCUGGAAUGGAAGCGAGUGGGACAAGCAACAUGAAGUUUUCUAUGAACGGUUGCAUUUUGAUUGGAACCUUGGAUGGGGCGAAUGUGGAGAUCAGAGAAGAAGUUGGUGAAGAGAACUUCUUCCUCUUUGGUGCCAAAGCUGAUGAGAUUGUGAGUCUUAGGAAAGAGAGAGCGGAGGGAAAGGUAUAUGAAAUAAAGAUAAGCUUGAUGUGCUCUUCAAGUCUUCUUCUCAGUGUCAAACAGAGGUUUAUUGUGACCUGUUUUGUCUUCUGCAUUCCAGUUUGUUCCAGAUCCUAGUUUUGAAGAAGUCAAGCAAUUCGUUAGAAGCGGUGUCUUUGGCUCAAACAACUAUGAUGAACUGAUUGGCUCUUUGGAAGGAAACGAAGGCUUUGGAAGAGCUGAUUACUUCCUUGUUGGCAAAGACUUCCCUAGUUACGUUGAAUGCCAAGAAAAAGUUGACAAGGCAUACCGUGACCAGAAAGUAAGUAGUGAUGCUUUAGCUUAUACGUUGACUCAAUAUGAAACUUCCUCAACAUCUAACCUUGAAAUUGCUAUAAAUGAUUUACAGAGAUGGACGAGGAUGUCGAUCUUGAACACAGCAGGUUCAUCCAAGUUUAGCAGUGAUAGGACGAUCCAUGAGUAUGCCAAAGACAUAUGGAAUAUUAAGCAAGUUGAACUUCCAUGAGCUUUGACUACUAGUCUACCUUAAGACCUCUUUUGAAUGUUUUUUUUUCUAUUUCCCAUGUUUCCAGUGUAUCCAAGUAAAUAAGGAAAUCAUAUGUAAUGAUAUGCAACACAAUGUUCCUUCACUUUAGUAUCUUUUGAGUUAAAUCAACUCCUCCUGAGAGACUUGAUGCUUCUGGUGAGCCAGACGGUGAAUUACUAUCUUCAAAUCUCCUUUUACUCUCUCAGAUACCGCACCAAUGGGUCGGUGAAGUGUUUGCUUGGUCAUACCUAGAGCUUGAUAACACCCAUAACUCUUGCCACAUGCUUGUGAUUAUAGCUGGAGUUACUCUGUUGUCUUCUCUGCAUUUCAUUUCUCAGAGGAGAAGGCAACGCUUAGGCAACAACAGUACUGCAAGUACUAGACUGUUCGAAACCUGAGUGAGGAAACACUUAAACCUUGUCUCGAGCUCAACACAAUGUUCAUUCACAUUAUCUCUACGUUCAAACAACUUUUCCUGAGAAAAUGUUAAGACAAAACCGAACCGGUAAGUAAAGAAACCAGAAGCAAACCAAUUUACCAUACAUUAAAUGGUGCACACCGGAGGUGUUAAUUUUCUCGGAUGAGAUCAAACAAGUUUAAAGAACGCAAAUUUGGUAAUUUUCUCGUUCUUAAAAGCACAGCCUAAACAGAAACUGGAUCCAUAUUAAGAAUCACCACUCACAGUAGGCUGUCAGCCUGUAACACAAUAUUCGUUGGAGGUAAGUUUUUAGCCUCACGAUAUUCUUUGAAGGUGACACAAUAAUGGGGAAUGUAAAAAACGUGGAUUGCCUUAUUCGUUCAAUUCCACAAAAAAAAUUAACAUUUGCCUUGAAUGAAAUAAAAUAACCAUUCCAUAAAUUUCAAAAAAAGUAAACAAAAUUCAAAGGAAACUAUUGCACUAAAAUUUUGAUAAGUAAUGAAUGUAAUAGUUAUAUUAUAUUUUUCUUCAUAUUACGUUUAUCCUAUUCCAUUUCUUUUUACCCCACUAAUUCCCUUACAGGUUUACCAUUUACCAUUUUUUAAAAAGGUAACAAGAAAAUAAAUAUAUCUAUUUCCAUAUUUGAUAAGAAACGUACCCAGUAUCUCAUACUCAGCAAGGAAAUAGUUAACAAUAUUCAGUAUUGAAUGCACAAAUAUGGUAUCAAACGUCUUCCUCAAUUUGAUAUUAAUAGUUAAUGCCCGGACUUGUUGACAAAAUAAAAAAAAGUUAAUGUCCGGACUCUAACAUUCUGCAAUCUUGCCAAAAUCUAUGCUAAUUACCAUAUUUUAUUCCCUAAAACGAUCACAUUAACGUUUCAUAUUCUUCUAUAAAUAAUCAUUCUUCAUUCCGAGUAUAAUCGUAAAAUAAGUCGAAGAAAACAUACAAACAAUUAAACAUGAAUCGAUCAAUGUCUUUUGUUAUGAUACUGGCGAUUCUUGUCUCUGUGGCUGACGCUGCGUGGGAAGACGCUCACGCUACGUUUUACGGCGACAUUAGCGGCAAAGAAACCAUGCGUUAGUAUCUUUAUAUUGUUAUUGAUUUAUAUACUAUCUUUUUAAUUUCAAUAUAAUUGUCUAGUUAGUAAUAUGUAGACUAUGAAUUAAUCUAGUAAAUCAUUGGCUUUUUUAGUGAAAAGUAUCAUCGUAUCUAAUAUUUUUAAUGUUUUGGCGUGACAGAAGGAGCAUGUGGUUAUGGAGAUCUAUUCCAAGAAGGUUAUGGGUUAGAAACGGCGGCGCUAAGCACGGCGCUCUUCAACAACGGCCAAACAUGCGGUGCUUGUUUCGAGCUAACGUGUGUAAAUUCACAAUGGUGUAAACAAAACGCCGGUACAAUCAGAAUCACAGCAACCAACUUCUGCCCACCCAACUACACCCCACCGGUUGAUAUCCACUGGUGCAACCCUCCUAACAAGCACUUCGAUCUAUCCAUGAAGAUGUUCACUUCCAUCGCCGAGUACAAAAGUGGGAUCGUUCCUGUGAAGUUCAGGAGAGUGAAGUGUCAGAAGAGAGGUGGUGUGAGGUUUGAGGUCAAGGGAAACCCUAAUUUCAUUAUGGUUUUGGUGUAUAACGUUGGAGGAGCUGGAGAUGUUAACAGCCUGGCUAUUAAGGGGCAUAAGAGUAACUGGAUCUCUAUGCAGAGGAACUGGGGGCAGAAUUGGAACACUGGUGUGGGUUUAGUCGGACAAAGACUCUCGUUUACAGUGAAGACCAGUGAUGGUAGGAGCUUGACGUUCUAUGAUGUUGCGUCGGAGUCUUGGGGGUUCGGUCAAACUUUUGAAGCGAAAUCAAACUUUUAUUAGAUUACCUUAACUUUCUUUUUCAGAUUAUGUUAGUUUCUUGAGUUUUUGUUAGAAGCUACUAUUUCAUAGUACUACUAUAAUAAAAUCAUUAGUUUCAUAAGAUAUUGUUUUUAUUGAUGAAUGAAUUAUUGUCCUAGCAAUGAAACAUAUUACGGGGGGUUUAUUGGAGUUGGGGUUUGAGAAGGUUUUGAGGAUUUUAAAAUGUAGUGGAAUUUUGAGAGUUUUGUUGAAUUCCAGAAUUUUGAUAGAGAUUUAAAAGGGGAAUUUGGUAGGAUUUGGUAAGAUCUUUUUUAAAUAUUUUAAUAAUAAUUUUCACUAUUAAACUACAAAAAUACGUAAUCGGUUGUUAGGUUUAUAUUAAAUACAUAUAUAAUAGGGAUAUACCAAUAAAACUACUUAUAUGAUAUAGAUAUAUGUUCCAAGCUAUUAAUUCUUCUAAACAAGUGAAUAGACUUGAAGAAAUCCCGACGUCACUAACAUAGUUGUUGUUGUGGCUUUGACUUCGGGAAUUUUUUGUUUGUUUCAGUAACCAAAUAGAGAGAUCUUAAACAUAGAGAUAUUGUAGUGAGUUGAAAAAUAAUGUGAAAGAGUUAAAAGGAUAUACAACAACAAAAAAAAAGCUUGAAAAUCCUCAUAAAGUGUCAAGAGAGGGAAUCAAAACAAAAAGAGACAAAAGACUCAUUCUUUCUCUGUGCCAUUGUACAUCAGACUUGAUACCAGUUAUACAAAUAUGGCGUUGUUACAACUCCAAACAUGUUUGGCGGAUGGUCUCUCUUGUAUAGUCCCAUAAGUUCAUGGCUAGUUUUGAGAGUUCUCCAAGCUCUAAUGGGAUAACACCACUUAAACCAUUGCUAGACAGAUCUAAAACCAUACAUAUAAUCAACUAUUCCUCUACUGAACUCAGAUUCUUCAGUGUAAAAAAUCAUACCUUUGAUUUGCUACAAACUGGAUUUCUGCAAAUAGGUUUAAGAAGGUGACAGGUGCACAUCAUCAUCUUCUUGCUGAAACUUCCAUUGUUAGUUCAUCAUAUGAACCAUUCUCAGAUCGAUGAUGAUGAGAACAGUUUGAAUUCAUUCUCUUCCCAUCUCAGUUAAGUUUCUUCUGUCGUAAAAGAUGAAUAACUUUUUUUAUUUAAAUUCUAUCUCUUUAGGUGGUAUUUGAUUCUAUUGAAUUUGAAGGGUAAAUGAUAGUUUUUAAUAUCCAAAAUAACUUUUGAUGAAUCUCAUUGAUGAAAUCCAUAUUUUCCAAUAAGGGGUGAUUAAUAAGAUUUUUAUAAAUGCUAUAUCCAAUAAGAGGGGAUUUGUAAAACUUUUUAUAAAUACCUUGUCCAAUAAGGGAAGAUUUGGCAAAAACCUAUUUCAAUAAGCCCCCAACUGUCUCAAAUUUUAAAUGUUAAUCUUAAUAUACAGUAGAACCUUUAUAAAUUAAUACUAGAUAAAUUAAUAAUUUCUAUAAAUUAAUAAAUUCACCGGUUCCAAUUUGGAUCGGUACAAAGUUUGACACAAAUCGAUAAAACAAUAAGAUAAUUUAUAUGUAUAUGUAUUUUAUAUAAAUAAAAAUUUAUUAUUAUAUUGUUUAUUUUAUAUUCACAAUAGAAUUAUAUUUAUAUUUUCUUAGCACUUAAUAUAUUUUUGAUGAGAUUUAGUAAUAUUAUAUCUAAAACUACAUUUUAGUUCUAUGCAAUAUAUAUAUAUAUAUAUAUAUUAUACACCAAAUAAUAUAAUAAAACUAAUAUAAAUGUCAAAUUUCAAAAAAUAACAAUUAAAGUCUAUACAUUAAAAUCAUUUUUUUCUUAUCUUAGAAUAAAUAUAUCUUAAAAUAAAAAGUCUAACUAAGGAAAUUUUUGUAAAUUAAUAUUUUUAUAAAUUAAUAAAAUUUCAAAAUUUCAGCACUAUUAAUUUAUAGAGGUUCUAUUGUACAUCACAAGUUAUAUAAUCUUAAAAUUUUAGUAAAUUAUAAUAUGCGUACACCACAAAUAUUAUUUCUUUUAUAGAGACUGCAUAAAUCUGUUAGAAAACAACAUGGGAAAACAAAGUGAGAUUGGAGAAGAGAGAAUACAGUGAAAAACUAUAGCUUAAAAGAGAGCACUGACUGUAUAGCUCAUUAUUCUUUGGAAAAUAGCUUGAGUGGUUAAAACGCGCUGAUGAUAACACUGAGUCAAGGCUUGGUGAGAACAAUAUCAGAAGCGCCUCGUACAGCAUCUGUAGCAGCAGCAACAGCGAUACCAAUAUUGGCUCUCUUCAAAGCAGGAGAGCAUCCAUCACCAGUCAUCCUACAUAUAUGCUUCAAUUAUUGCAACUUCUUCAAAAUCUCGUACUUCUUCUCUGGCUGAAACAUAAACCAAAACAUCGCUGUAGAGAGAGAGAGAGAGAGAGAGAGAGAGAGAGAGAGAGAGAGAGAGAGAGAGAGAGAGGAGAGAGAGAGAGAGAGAGAAGAGAGAGAGAGAAGAGAGAGAGAGAGAGCGAGAGAAGAGAGAGAGAGAGAGAGAAGAGAGAGAGAGAGAGAGAGAGAGAGAAGAGAGGAGAGAGAUGAGAGAGAGAGAGAGAGGAGAGAGAGAGAGAGGAGAGAGAGAGAGAGAGAGAGAGAGAGAGAGAGAGGAGAGAAGAGAGAGAGAGAGAGAGAGAGAGAGAGAGAGAGAGAGAGAGAGAGAGAGAGAGCAUGUUCAUGAACAAAAAAAAAUCUCUUCUUAACCAACCUGGGAAGACAGCAGCAAAGGCAUGGGCAUUCUCAAUCAACUGUUCAACGGGAACUUCAGCUAGGCUUUCGUCUUUGUGUUUACCAUGUAGAGAAGCUGAUGCUGAUGGAUACAUGUUUGAUCCCAUACCAAGCCUAUGUCGAGUCUAUGCUCAAAUCACUGUAAUAAUUCUCUAGGGCGGUGGACUUUUCUUGGCAGCAUCAGAAAGAGAAAGGCAAACCUUUUCCCUUAAUACCGGCGGGAUCCCUUUCCUAAUCAACCUAUUCAGCGUGAUCGGAGAAAUUAGAGAGCAGGAGAUACGUAUCAGAAGCUACACUGAUACGACUGGAUCAAAACUUUAAACCCAAGGAUUAACGUGUUGACCAACUGCAAGCAACAGUCAGACAAUACAUAUGAGUAUAUGACAUGAGCUUCAAUUUAAUUGAGAAUAUAUUAUAAUAAGUUAGUCCAGUUUAUUGCAAGUUUCUUAAUUAUGAGUUCUUAAAAAAAAAGAUUUGAACAAAACAAGAGUGAUUAUGUCUGAAUCAAUCAUCUCACAUUUGAGCCUGUUUAUGAUCUAACCAAUCCCAAUCACAAAUUUGUUUAUUUUCUUACAAAAUUCAAAAUCAUCUCAAGAGUUAUUAAAAAUCAGAAGAAAGCAAAGUAUUCAAAAUCAUCAAUCGGUCUUGAAGAAUCAGUUUUUGUGCAGCUUUGUUACUCUUCAGCGGCAAUGACACUGAUCUCACCUCUCUCUCAAGCAAGUCAUAGAAAGCUCUGGUUUUCCUCUGUUUGUUCCAAUGGUCUCAUCUUCCAAAGACCACCAGCAGCUAAACCGAGUGCCAUACCGAUGAUUAGCUAGAAAUGUAAUGCACAAUCAAUUCAUAUACAAGACAGAGACUGACUACUCUCUUCACCAUCCCACGGUUCAGCAUCUUCCCAGCUGCUCCAAAUAUUGGAGCCAAGCGGCCUGUGAUCGGUCCUGGGUUUGCUAGUUUCUAUAAAGCAUCAAGUAUAAAAAGAGAGAGACUAUCUAUAAAGCAUACACCUUUACAUGUGACACAGACUAAUAACAAUGAUCCGUUCAUGAGAUAAAAGGAAGAUACUUUUUGAUUGAAUUAACUAGAUUCAGAUGACAACAAUGCAUAAAUGAAAAAAGAAAAGGAAAGUGAGAUGAAACCAGAAGAAGAAGAAGGUUGGUCACGUCGCGCUUUCUCCUCUGCCCAAAACAACACACCAUUCUCUCCAAAAAUUCAAUCUUUCCGAUGAUCUUCCUUAAGGUGACACUAAGUAGUCUCUGGUUCGAACUCUUUCUCUGUCCUGAAACAACCAGAAAAACACAUUCUUUAUCAAAACCAACAGCAAGCAGAGAAAGGGAUACCAAAUCAGAGAAUAAAAACAAUGACUUUGAAGUUUAUAUUUCUGAGAGGUUGGCGAUCUCUUUGCUUUUUUCAGAGAAACAAUCAAUUGGGAGAGACACAGAGAGGAAGAGAUAGAGACAGGGAGAAGUAGAGAAGAGACUGUUCUUCCAACUCCUCCUAAUCAGGAGAUGUCUCUUGUGUUAAUUGUAACUAGGAUAAGACCCGCGCCUUGCGCGGGAUUAAGUUAUUAUUUUUAUUAUAUUUUUGAGAAUGAAACAAUAGUUUGGCUUCAUUUGGAUUACAGGUGUUCAAUCCGGAUAUCGGGUUGGUUCGGUUCGGUUCGGUUUUUUCGGUAUUUGGUUAGUAAAAUAUAACUACUAUUCUAAAUCCAUAUUUAUUUUGACUUUAGUCUUUCACAUACUUUUGAAAGAUUUCAACUGGACGACUAAAUUGAUCAGC
rnacentral:lncRNA from 1 species